CACGUAGGGCGCAAGCGUUGUCCGGAAUUAUUGGGCGUAAAGAGCUCGUAGGCGGUCUGUUGCGUCCGCUGUGAAAACUCGGGGCUUAACCCCGAGCCUGCAGUGGAUACGGGCAGACUAGAGGUAGGUAGGGGAGAAUGGAAUUCCAGGUGUAGCGGUGAAAUGCGUAGAUAUCUGGAAGAACACCAGUGGCGAAGGCGGUCAACUGGCCCAUAACUGACGCUCAGGCACGAAAGCGUGGGGAGCAAACAGG
rnacentral:rRNA from 1 species